CAGGACAUCCACAGACCAGUCACCCCUUCCAGCCAUAAAGGUUGACGGAAUCUCCACUUGGAUCCACGCAUCCCACGCCAAGGCUGCUCCAGAGACGCCCGGACCAACUCCACCUAAGACAUGGAGACUCCGACGCUCCGAGGACCCGCUCAAGAUAAGACUCUCUCGUAUCUAGCCCCUUGCUUAUUACUAGCCCUCCUUCCCUGUGUCGCUGACAGUAAUAACCCCCACCGGCCAUAUAACCUGACCUGGCAGGUAAUUGAUUUUAGUACUCAUGAGGUCUUAGAUAAAACCUCAAAAAUUGCUCCUAUGGGGACUUGGUUCCCUGACCUCUAUUUCAACCUAGACAAAAUAGCAAAGAUAGAUGACAUGGAAGGGGGAGAAUGGAGAAAACAGGCUAGAAGGGUGUCCGUAAGCCGGAACGGGUUCUAUGCCUGUCCCGGAUUCAGGACAGGAGAAAUGA